rnacentral:lncRNA from 12 species
ACCAGCAAGACUGAGCAACAGAGACACUUUCCUGUUACUGGUGUAGUUGCCAAUAUUUUAGUUCAGUGACAGGUAGCACAGUGCCUAUAAACAGGGGGUACACCACACUGCAGUGCAGGGGAUUCUAAAUUAAAUCCCACGUUUCAGUCUAACCAUCACACCUUUAUCUUCUGAACGCUGCAAUUUUACCCAAAUGAAUGAAUUAAACUUCACAAAACAGGUGAAAGCGAU